GAGACGGACAGAAGGGAGCUUGCUCCCGGAUGUUAGCGGCGGACGGGUGAGUAACACGUGGGUAACCUGCCUGUAAGACUGGGAUAACUCCGGGAAACCGGAGCUAAUACCGGAUAGUUCCUUGAACCGCAUGGUUCAAGGAUGAAAGACGGUUUCGGCUGUCACUUACAGAUGGACCCGCGGCGCAUUAGCUAGUUGGUGAGGUAACGGCUCACCAAGGCGACGAUGCGUAGCCGACCUGAGAGGGUGAUCGGCCACACUGGGACUGAGACACGGCCCAGACUCCUACGGGAGGCAGCAGUAGGGAAUCUUCCGCAAUGGACGAAAGUCUGACGGAGCAACGCCGCGUGAGUGAUGAAGGUUUUCGGAUCGUAAAGCUCUGUUGUUAGGGAAGAACAAGUGCAAGAGUAACUGCUUGCACCUUGACGGUACCUAACCAGAAAGCCACGGCUAACUACGUGCCAGCAGCCGCGGUAAUACGUAGGUGGCAAGCGUUGUCCGGAAUUAUUGGGCGUAAAGGGCUCGCAGGCGGUUUCUUAAGUCUGAUGUGAAAGCCCCCGGCUCAACCGGGGAGGGUCAUUGGAAACUGGGAAACUUGAGUGCAGAAGAGGAGAGUGGAAUUCCACGUGUAGCGGUGAAAUGCGUAAAGAUGUGGAGGAACACCAGUGGCUGAAG
rnacentral:rRNA from 1 species